UUGCGAUCUAUUGCUCCCCCAACCUGCUUUUCAACCAUCAAUAUAGAGGAAUCAGCUCUGCUCCUACAGCUACUAACGACCAGCAAUUCCUUCUUUGCUGGUUCAUGUUGACUACUACUUGGCCUCUUACUAUGGGCUGAUCCCGGAGAUGGCUCCUUCUUCUCGUUAGACUCUAAAAGUUCAGCAAUCACAGAAGCAUUUGGAUCCACGGUUUUAGCCAAUGCAUUUCGACGUAGCAAUAACUCCUUUUUCCAGGGUGGUAAGGAACAUGAAGAGGACGAGGAAAUCCCACUCAUGUUAUUCUUCAUGAUCUGUAAAUAAGUACAAAAUGAAAAAUCAUGCAUCAAUAUUUUAAACAAUGGUUGUUAAGUUAGCUAUAGAUAAUAUUAUAUACGAAUAUAUGUAUUUAGAAAAUAA
rnacentral:lncRNA from 1 species